rnacentral:rRNA from 1 species
ACUCCUACGGGAGGCAGCAGUGGGGAAUUUUGGACAAUGGGGGCAACCCUGAUCCAGCCAUUCCGCGUGAGUGAAGAAGGCCUUCGGGUUGUAAAGCUCUUUCGGCAGGAACGAAACGGCGGGCUCUAACAUAGCCUGUUAAUGACGGUACCUGAAGAAGAAGCACCGGCUAACUACGUGCCAGCAGCCGCGGUAAU